AGGAGUGUGGCUCAAGCGGUAGAGCACCUGCCUCCCAAGCAUGAGGCCCUGAAUUCAAAUCUAGUACUUCCA
rnacentral:tRNA from 1 species